rnacentral:rRNA from 1 species
AGAGUUUGAUCCUGGCUCAGAAUCAACGCUGGCGGCGUGCCUAACACAUGCAAGUCGAACGCGAAAGUCCCGCAAGGGAUAAGUAGAGUGGCAAACGGGUGAGUAACGCGUGGGCGACCUACCUUCGAGUGGGGGAUAACAUUCCGAAAGGAGUGCUAAUACCGCAUGACAUCCUGCGUUUAGAUACGCGGAGAUCAAAGCCGGGGAUCGUAAGACCUGGCGCUUGAAGAGGGGCCUGCGUCCGAUUAGCUAGUUGGCGAGGUAAUGGCUCACCAAGGCUCCGAUCGGUAUCCGGCCUGAGAGGGCGGACGGACACACUGGAACUGAGACACGGUCCAGACUCCUACGGGAGGCAGCAGUGGGGAAUUGUUCACAAUGGGCGCAAGCCUGAUGACGCAACGCCGCGUGGAGGAUGAAGACCUUCGGGUCGUAAACUCCUUUCGACCGAGAUGAAUAUCCAUGGGCCUAAUACACCCAUGGAGUGACAGUUCGAGAAGAAGCCCGA